rnacentral:lncRNA from 1 species
GAUUUCUCCACUGAUUUCACCCUGAAAUGUAUAAAUAGCUUUUCUUUAAAGUCAGAAUUUCGAGUGCAGACUCAAAACUGUGCUGAGGUUUUGAGAUGGGCUUUGCCCUGGCGAAGGUGGGGGUGGGAGCGUUCCCUCAUCCCUUGCUUUGGGACCAUCCUGACAGCUCUGGAAUUAGGGAUUUUUCUGAGUUGUUCCCACUGUUUCCACAAUUUUCACUUUGGGAAUGCCCUAGCUAGCUGUGGAACUAAGGACUCUGAGAAAACAUUCCCCCAUUUCUCACUCUGGGAACACCCUGGCAGCUGUGGGAUCAGGGAUUCAAUUCGGAGAUUUUCCCCGUUGUUCCCCCAUUUCUCAUUUUGGGAACAUCCUAACAGCUCUGGGAUUAGGGACUCUGAGAAAGUGUUCCCUCUAUUCUCCCAUUUCUCAUUUUGGCAAUACAUCAACAACUGUGGGAUCAGGGACUCUGAGAAAGUGUUCCCCCAUUUCUCGCUUUGGGAACACACCAAGAGCUGUGGGAUUAGGGACUCUUCACAGUUUUCCCCACUGUUCCCCCAUUUCUCGCUUUGGGAACACCCAAACAGUUCUGGGAUUGGGGACUCUUCCAAGUCUGCUCCCCCAUUUCUCGCUUUGGGAACACCCCAAUCCCACAUCCUGAAUUCCCCCACUGCUCAUCGAUGCUCCCGUGCAACGAUUUCCAAGGGACGCCCAAGGAUUGUUUGA